GUCUAUGGCCAUGCUACCCUGAACAAACCCGAUGUCUGAUCUCAGAAACUAAGCAGGGUCGAGCCUGGUUAGUACUUGGAUGGGAGACCAUCUAGGAAGACCAGGUGCUGUAGACA
rnacentral:rRNA from 1 species